rnacentral:rRNA from 1 species
UACGGGGGGAGCAAGCGUUGUUCGGAUUUACUGGGCGUAAAGGGCGCGUAGGCGGUCAGCACAAGUCAGUUGUGAAAUCUCCGGGCUUAACUCGGAAAGGUCAACUGAUACUGUGCGACUAGAGUGCAGAAGGGGCAACUGGAAUUCUCGGUGUAGCGGUGAAAUGCGUAGAUAUCGAGAGGAACACCUGCGGCGAAGGCGGGUUGCUGGGCCGACACUGACGCUGAAGCGCGAAAGCCAGGGGAGCGAACGGGG